rnacentral:rRNA from 1 species
GUUCCUUGGAAAAGGACAGCUGAGAGGGUGAGACUCCCGUCCGCCUGGUAGAGUGAGUCGUUGUCAACGAGUCGAGUUGUUUGGGAUUGCAGCUCUAAUUUGGUGGUAAAUUCCAUCUAAAGCUAAAUAUUGGUGGGAGACCGAUAGCGUACAAGUACCGUGAGGGAAAGAUGCAAAGAACUUUGAAAAGAGAGUUAAAGAGUACCUGAAAUUGCUGAAACGGAAGCGAAGGAAACCAGUGUUUGUUGGUUCAUAUUUCCCUUGUCACUUGUGAUGUGGGCGCUGUGAGCUUGCGUGGGUUUGCUUUGGUUGAUUCCUUUGGAAGAGCGCAGUCAGAGUUGAUGUCU